CAGCCGCCGCGGUAAUACGAAGGGGGCUAGCGUUGCUCGGAAUGACUGGGCGUAAAGGGCGUGUAGGCGGCCUGGGGCGUCCCAUGUGAAAGGCCACGGCUCAACCGUGGAGGAGCGUGGGAUACGCUCAGGCUAGAGGGUGGGAGAGGGUGGUGGAAUUCCCGGAGUAGCGGUGAAAUGCGCAGAUACCGGGAGGAACGCCGAUGGCGAAGGCAGCCACCUGGUCCACUUCUGACGCUGAGGCGCGAAAGCGUGGGGAGCAAACCGGAUUAGAUACCCCAGUAGUCCCUGUCUCUUAUAC
rnacentral:rRNA from 1 species